AGUAAAUAGAUACCCGGGUAGUCCACGCCGUAAACGAUGAGUACUAGGUGUAGGAGGUAUCGACUCCUUCUGUGCCGCAGUUAAACACAAUAAGUACUCCGCCUGGGAAGUACGGUCGCAAGAUUAAAACUCAAAGGAAUUGACGGGGGCCCGGCACAAGCAGCGGAGCAUGUGGUUUAAAUUACGAAGCAACGCGAAGAACCUUACCUAGACUUGACAUCUCCUGAAUAGUGUAGAGAUACAUGAAGCCCUUCGGGGUCGAGGAAGACAGGUGGUGCAUGGUUGUCGUCAGCUCGUGUCGUGAGAUGUUGGGUUAAGUCCCGCAACGAGCGC
rnacentral:rRNA from 1 species